rnacentral:rRNA from 1 species
GUGGGGAAUCUUGCGCAAUGGGCGAAAGCCUGACGCAGCCAUGCCGCGUGAAUGAUGAAGGUCUUAGGAUUGUAAAAUUCUUUCACCGGGGACGAUAAUGACGGUACCCGGAGAAGAAGCUCCGGCUAACUUCGUGCCAGCAGCCGCGGUAAUACGAAGGGGGCUAGCGUUGCUCGGAAUUACUGGGCGUAAAGGGCGCGUAGGCGGACAGCUUAGUCAGAGGUGAAAGCCCAGGGCUCAACCUUGGAAUUGCCUUUGAUACUGGCUGUCUUGAGUACGGGAGAGGUGAGUGGAACUCCGAGUGUAGAGGUGAAAUUCGUAGAUAUUCGGAAGAACACCAGUGGCGAAGGCGACUCACUGGCCCGUUACUGACGCUGAGGCGCGAAAGCGUGGGGAGCAAACAGGAUUAGAUACCCUGGUAGUCC